AAUUAACAAGGAGGGGCCUGUAACUCUAAGAUGGUUUCUUCAGUAAUGACUAUUUUCUUUUACAAGACGUGAGUAUUCUCUACCUUCUAAGAGACCAGCAUUGCUCAUCAAUGCUGAGCAAUGGAAAGUGAAGGUGUUCAGUUUUGGCUGCAGUGCAGUGGCACAAUCUUAGCUCACUGCAACCUCUGCCUCUCAGAUUCAGGCCAUCUUCCCUAGGGACUGGAGAUGGAGUCUUGCUUUGUCACCAAGUCUGGAGUGCAAUGCUAUGAUCCAGGCUCACUGUAACUUCUGCCUCCUGAGUUCCAGCAACUCUCCU
rnacentral:lncRNA from 1 species